GACGAACGCUGGCGGCGUGCUUAACACAUGCAAGUCGAGCGGAAAGGCCCUUCGGGGUACUCGAGCGGCGAACGGGUGAGUAACACGUGAGUAACCUGCCCCAGACUUUGGGAUAACCCUCGGAAACGGGGGCUAAUACCGGAUACGACACAGCUUCGCAUGGGGUCUGUGUGGAAAGUUUUUCGGUUUGGGAUGGACUCGCGGCCUAUCAGCUUGUUGGUGGGGUGAUGGCCUACCAAGGCGACGACGGGUAGCCGGCCUGAGAGGGCGACCGGCCACACUGGGACUGAGACACGGCCCAGACUCCUACGGGAGGCAGCAGUGGGGAAUAUUGCACAAUGGGCGGAAGCCUGAUGCAGCGACGCCGCGUGAGGGAUGACGGCCUUCGGGUUGUAAACCUCUUUCAGCAGGGACGAAGCGUAAGUGACGGUACCUGCAGAAGAAGCGCCGGCCAACUACGUG
rnacentral:rRNA from 1 species